CGCAAGCCUGACGGAGCAAGACCGCGUGCGGGAUGACGGCCUAAUGGUUGUAAACCGCUUUUCUCUGGGAAGAUGAUGACGGUACCAGAGGAAUCAGCCUCGGCUAACUCCGUGCCAGCAGCCGCGGUAAUACGGAGGAGGCAAGCGUUAUCCGGAAUUAUUGGGCGUAAAGCGUCCGUAGGUGGUUAUUCAAGUCUGCUGUCAAAGCGUGGGGCUUAACUCCAUAGAGGCAGUGGAAACUGGAUGACUUGAGUGCGGUAGGGGUCGAGGGAACUCCCAGUGUAGCGGUGAAAUGCGUAGAUAUUGGGAAGAACACCAGUGGCGAAAGCGCUCGACUGGGCCUGCACUGACACUGAGGGACGAAAGCUAGGGGAGCG
rnacentral:rRNA from 1 species